UACAUAGGGUGCGAGCGUUAAUCGGAAUUACUGGGCGUAAAGCGCGCGUAGGCGGCUUUGUAAGUCGGGUGUGAAAUCCCCAAGCUUAACUUGGGAACUGCAUUCGAGACUGCAUAGCUAGAGUAUGGGAGAGGGAAGUGGAAUUUCAGGUGUAGCGGUGAAAUGCGUAGAUAUCUGAAGGAACAUCAGUGGCGAAAGCGACUUCCUGGACCAAUACUGACGCUCAUGUGCGAAAGCGUGGGGAGCAAACAGG
rnacentral:rRNA from 1 species